UACGUAGGGUGCAAGCGUUGUCCGGAAUUAUUGGGCGUAAAGAGCUCGUAGGCGGUUUGUUGCGUCGGCUGUGAAAUCCCGAGGCUCAACCUCGGGUCUGCAGUCGAUACGAGCAAACUAGAGUGUUGCAGGGGAGACUGGAAUUCCUGGUGUAGCGGUGAAAUGCGCAGAUGUCAGGAGGCACACCGGUGGCGAAGGCGGGUCUCUGGGCAACAACUGACGCUGAGGAGCGAAAGCGUGGGGAGCGAACAGG
rnacentral:rRNA from 1 species